GCAAUGUAAAGGAAGGGACUCCUGUGGGCUCAAAGUAUGACCUGGUGCUGGAAGGCUUCCCUGCAAUCUGAAAGCCUUGAUCACUCAUUGGACGACGGUCAUGCCAAUCCUUGCCUCCUGGCAAAUGAGCUUAGAGCUGGCGCUGGAGGAAGUGGUCGCGGUUGACCCUUCCAGCUCCACCUACCGUCGCCAGCCCAUCAGGGUCUUUCCCGCCUUGUCCGCCGCCAGCUCAGCUUCGGUGUUGGUGGGCGGGUCUGCGGGCCACCCCCUCACCAUUCCUGUUGUGGGGCCCACACCAGCAACUUGCAGACUCCUGUUCCCUGUGCAGCCGACGUCUCUGCUGUCCCCACCCCCACCCUGCGGUCCCACUGCCAACAGCGUCUCCUCAGCACAACGCUUAGCCCGGCGGACGCCAUCUUCCCCGCAGACAUCACUGCAGGACGAUCACUGUCUGGCACGUCUCUCCUGCCAUGUCUGCCACAGAGGAGCACGACUGGAUCCCAGGUGGCCCAGAUGGAGCUGGUGGCGGGGCGGGCCGUGACCCCAGUCUCCUUGGGGUCCAAGCAUCUGCUUGCGAGGGGACGGAAGGAGUCGAGGAGGCCACGGCUCUUCUGGCUUCCUUGGAGGUCUCCAAAGCCCUUCCCGGGGAGCAGGGUUGGCCACAGGCCGCAGUGGAAGAGGAAUGUGGUAGAGAGCCGUUAGAGGAGGAGGAGAUGGAGGAAGGUGUAGAGAUGCAGGAGGACGAGGAAGAGGGUGAGAUUGAUUUCGAGUUGGAAGGCGUGGAGGAGGAGGAGCACCUGUCUGGAGAGGGCGAGGAAGAGGAGGACGAGAAUGAGCAGGAGGGUGCGGCAGUGGUUACAGGCCUUGGGUUCUGCAUGGAGACAUUUGGGCCCCUGUUCCGGAGUCACGUUGACUCCUUUCUACGCAAUUUCCGUAACAACAAAGAUGUCUUCUUCCCGCCUUCCACUGACCGCCUGAUGGCCAGGGGCCGCUCCCAGCCACCCUCGGACCCUGGAGAAGGUCCGGUGCCUCCUCAGGAGCAGGAAGACCUGGGAGAGGGAGGCAGAGUCUUGCAGGGCCUAGACUCUGCUGCUGAUUUGAAGUUGAGGUAUUUUCCCUGCCAACUUUUGACCCCAAUGUCUGCAUCAUUCUGCCCCAAUGAUGAGGGUGAGGAUCAGUAUGAAAAUGCUGAUGAAGAGGAAGAGGAUAGAAAUGAAAAACCUGAAGGACUCUGAAUGGAUAUGGUCUCAGCAAAGAGCAGCUCUGGAUAAUACAGGUAUUAUUGUAUAGGCUUUUGUAUGACAUAACCAUUCCUGACACAUACCUGUUACUAACAGCGUUGCGUUUUUUAAUUUUUUUCUGUAAAGUAAAUAAGAAAAUUGUUGAAAUUUAAUUUUGGAAAAACAGUUUAUUGUUAAUAAUGUAUUCUAGAUAAUGUAGGAGGCAGUAUGUUCUGAAAUGUAUUGCAUUUAUAGCCACAAGUCCUUUGUCCUGUAGCUUUAAGUCUACUACAGAUGGGAAAUUUACCAGACCUGGCAAUGGAGACCAGUGCUUGUUUAGAGAAUAGUCACCAGAAGCAGCAGCUAAAGUGACUAGGCCAUGCAUUAGCUGUGUCAUCAUCACCUGGCCACAGAAUUGUAGUCUCUUGUACUGACAAUGACUUUGAGAAAGCGAUUCCUUACAAAGUAGUAAGAUGUUAAGGGUUUCAAGAGAACUGCAUUUCAGGAUUAAUUCACAAAUAUUAGUUCAAUUUAGAUUUUUUAUUCAAAAGAAAAGAAAACUAGUCUCAGUAAUAUUAUUGGUUGUCACUGGGUUGGUAAUUAAAUCUUUGUUUCUCGUUCCUCUAUUCAUUCAUCUGUUAGUCUCUGUCACUCACUGUCUCACUCUUUCUUAGUUUUCAUGCAUGUGGAUGUUUGAUAAAGCCUCAUCCUCGUUUUACACAUGUGGAAACUGAAGGUCUGGAAAUAUAAGGGAUUUAUGAUUUGUGCAAGGGAACACCAGAUCUUUAGGGGGAAUGGCUUAUUUAAAUCACAGUGUGGCCUUUCAAGGAAACAGCAAGCAUUUAUAGUGGUGGGCAAGAGGGAGGUAAGUUUUGCGUGAGCAAUGAUGUGCACCCUGAUCACCAAGGGUCUGGGUUACAAGAAGAAAACAUUUUUGUUUUCUCCUUGUUGAGAAAAUAGAUGUACAUAGUAUUGACUCAUAUUUAGAAAGUCACUGGUGCAUGUUAUUGAGUUACAAUUGUUAACUGGCUCUUAUUUCAUCCUACAGUGGGAAGGCAUAGAACGAAGCAGACAGCAAAAGAAAAGAUGAAUUUGUUCUUCAUGGAUAUUCUUGUUUUCAUUAGCCUGAAAUGCUAAUUUUGUUUCAAAGUUUCAACGCCCCAAAAUGAUAUUAACUACUGACAUCUGACUUUACUCUUACCUUUUACAGAUAAUUUGAUAGUAUUGUUCACAUUGGAAAUAAAAGCUUGUUUGAAAUUAAUUCUCCCUUAGCCCAGUCAAGUUGACACGUAAAAUUAACCAUCAUAAUCCUUGUGGAGAAUACUCACCCUGUACAUUGCCCAUGAGAUGACAUACUUACAGGAUGAUGACCUUCCACGUAUAACAAAGACAAUUUGAACAGCUCCUAGGUGUCAGGUUGCUCUAACAAACACAUUUGUUAACAAAUGUAUUUUCUUAAUUAAGAAUGAAAUGGAUAGCAUGUUUAUAAAAUAGUCUUUCAAGAUAAGUUUGAGAAAAAGGUAUUCUAAAGGCCAGUGUCUAGAGGCCCAUCCCUUUGUCUCAAUUUAUUCUGCUCCUGCCCAAUGUCAAGAUUGAUUAUCUCUAACUUGGAUCAUUAACAGCCUCAUUCUCUCUGAUUUUCUGCACUUUCACUAUGAUGUGUCUAAGAGUGAAUUUUUGUUUUUUAUCCUGCCUAGAACUCACUGAGCUUUUAGAAUCUGCAUUUCAAUUGCUCUGAAAAAUUCUUGGCCAUCAUUUUCUUCCCCGUUUCUCUCUCCUGUCUUUCUGGGAUUUGAAUUAAACAUAUACUUUGUAUCUCUUAUCCUACUUUUUUUCAUAUUAAUCUAUUUCUCCAGGCAGAAUUCUGGAUGAUUUCUUCUAAUCUAUCUUCCAAUUCAAUAAUUGUCUUAGGUUUAUUUUUCUUGAUUACAUUUAUCAUGAUCUAAUGGUUAUGCCAAUUUUUAUUUAUUUAUUUAUUUUUUGCUGAGCUUCAUGGCUUGUGGGAUCUUCCUUUCUUGACCGGGGAUUAAAACCAAGCCACUGCAAAGCACAUUGAAAGCAUGAGUCCUAAUGGCUGGAGACCAAGAGAAUUCACUCUCUGCUGCUUUUUAUGAUUUUCUGUUCCCUGAAGAUAUUUUAAAACAUACUUUUUAAUUUUUUGAAAUGUAGGCCAUAGUGAUUAUACUCUACUCUUCAUUCUGGCUGUCACUUACAAUAUAUUUUUUUUCCUUAUGUGUGUACAUAAGGUACAGGGCUUGAAGUUCCUUGGAUCACUAAGUGAUGUAUAUCUAGGCUGCAAUUUAUUCCAGCGCUCGUUACUUCUGGUUCACUAUUACCUGAAAGGGGUAGUCACUUAUUUUCAGCUUAAAGUGGUGGCAGAGCUCAUCAGACCUACUCAUUGGAGCUGUGAGAUUUGACUUUCAUUUUCUUUUCCCAUGAGGCCACCAAAACCACAGAUCAGUUCCAUAAUUCUUUCUUCUAGAUUCAGCUAAUGCCCUCAGGAAAAACUGGCUCUGAGUGCUGGGCUUUCCUAUUUGGGUUCUUGUCUUCUUGAAGAUUUUAGUCUCAUAGUUUCUUAGUGCUUAACAAAGAUACUUUCUUUAUACAUUUCAUCCAGUAAUUUUUAGUUGUCCUCAUUGGGAUGGUUAGUCCAAAUUACUAAGCCUGCCAUUACUGUAAGCAGAGGUGUUCACCACCCUCCUAACUUCACUUCUUGUCACCAAUCUUUCUUUCUUUCUUCCAGUUUCUCCUCUAGAAAGUAACUGAAAGUUUCUUUCUGAUGGCGUUAUUUUCCUGCACAAAUCCUCCAAAAGCUUGCUGCUAAAUGUAAAUUAGAAAUCAAAUUCCUCAGUUUGGACAAUCAGAUCGAAAAUGCUCUUUCUGAGAAAGUACUGUACAGCGCAGGGAACUCUACUCAAUACACUGUGGUGACCGAAAUGGAAAGGAAUUCUAAAAUAGAGGGGAUAACCGAUUCACUUUGUUAUACAGCAGAAGCGGAUAUAACAUUGUAAAGCAACUAUACUCCAAUAAAAAUUAACUUAAAAAUAAGAGAUGUGGAUGGAAAGUGGAGUAUGUGGAGUAGAUUAUGGAGAGAAAACAUGAAGAAAAGUUCUCUGCCAGUUAAUGAGAAGUCUGAAAUUUUUAAAGUAAGAAAAUGAUGUGAUUUUAUUUGGAUUUAGACAUGGCACUUUAUUGGCAGUAUGGAAAUCUUGUAAGUGUCAUAAAUAGAAUGUCUGCAUUCCCCCAAAAUCUAUAUGUUGAAAUCUUAAUUCCCAAGGUAAUGGUAUUAGAAGGUGGAGUGUUUGGGAGGGGCCUAGGUCAUAAGGGUAGAGUCCUCACAAAUGUGAUUAGCACCUUAUUUAAGAGGGUCCAGAGAGAUACUCUGCCCCUUCUGCCAAGUGAGGACAUAGUGAAAAGUUGGCAUUUAAGAUCCAGGGAGUGGACUUCAGGAGACACCAAAUCUGCUGGUGCCUUGAUCCUGGAUAAACCUGCUUCUAGGACUGUGAAAAAUAAAUGUUUGCUGUUUAUAAAAUAAAACAUUCUUUCUUAGCUUCAUUUAUUCACUGAGUAGGUAUUUCCUUUGCACUGAAUGUGUGGCCCUCACUAGGCCAGAUGCUACCUAUUCUUUUGCUUCUUACUUCAUUUACCUCUUGUCUUACCUCCCAAUCCACCUUAUACUUUAGCAAAACUGAAAUACUCAUUGUCAUGUGACAGGGCCAAGUCAGAUAACAGAUAGGCUAACACCUAGGUCAGUGAUAUUUCCUCUACCUCAAAAUACGAUAUUCACGUUUAAGUCAUAAUACCAUAUUCAUGUUUAAGUCCAUUCAAUCUAGGUAUCUAUGAAUAUUCUAAUAAAUGACCAAGACAAAAACUCAAAAAGCACAAAGUGACUUUCUCAUAUUCCUUACUGUCUUUUGGAAUCUUUCUCAUAUAUAUCUGGGAUGUAAGCUCUGGAAAGAAAUUCAUUUUUGCCAUCAAGCUUUUGGUAAUUUCCAUAGUCACAAGGGGGGCUUCCUUGGUGGCCAAGUGGUAAAGAACCCACCUGCCAAUGGAGGAGACAUGAGUUCGAUCCCUGGGCUGGAAAGAUCCCCUGAAGAAGGAAAUGGCAACCCACUCCAGUAUUUUGCCUGGGAAAUCUUAGGGACAGAGAAGACUACAGUGGGGUCCCAAGAGUCAGACACAACUUAGUAAGUAAACUAAAACAGUAAAACUGUGAGGCUUUUCUGUCUACAUGUUGGGGCCAGGAUGCUGGAGAAUUAGAGUGGCCUGCUCUCCAGGGCUAACUGCCUUGAAGAUCUGAUACACUGACCUUUGCCUUCUUUUCCACUUCUAUGAUGCCAGCCAAGAAGCCUCACGUCAACUUUGCACCCAUUAGCUAUGGGAGGGGGGCGCUCCAGGUGCCCAAUUUCUGACCUGAUGACCCUCCAGAGCCCUAUCAUAAAACACAUUGACUGAACCUCUUCUACCCUUUCCAGAAGAGAGGCACUUGGGUUGCCUGGAAGCCCAAGGAUCUCAGAACGAUCCCGAGUCAACUAGCUUCUGAUCCCUCAAAGUUGUUGAGAGCUUUCAGAAUUCAACAUGGACACUCCAUUUACUCCUUUCACAAUGAAAAGCAAACUC
ensembl:lncRNA